rnacentral:rRNA from 1 species
AUCUACUGUCUUACCAUUCUGAAUACGCUUGAUCUUGUCUGAUCUUAGAAGCUGAACAGGGUUGGGCCUGAUUAGUACUUGGGUGGGAGACUACCUGGGAAGACUGGGUGCUGUAGACU